rnacentral:rRNA from 1 species
GACGAACGCUGGCGGCGUGGAUUAGGCAUGCAAGUCGAACGGUAGGAUCCUUUCGGGGAUCUGAGAGUGGCGAACGGGUGAGUAACACGUAGGUGAUCUACCCUCAAGACGGGGACAACCCAGGGAAACUUGGGCUAAUACCGGAUGUGAGCUAUCGCGAGAUAGUUUGAAAGGUGGCUUCGGCUGCCGCUUGAGGAUGAGCCUGCGUCCUAUUAGCUAGUUGGUGAGGUAACGGCUCACCGAGGCAGUGAUAGGUAGGCGGCCUUAACGGGUGGUCGCCCACACUGGGAUUGAGAUACGGCCCAGACUCCUACGGGAGGCAGCAGUCGAGAAUAGUCUACAAUGGUCGAAAGACUGAUAGUGCGACGCCGCGUGAACGAAGAAGCCCUUCGGGUGUAAAGUUCUUUUAUAUGUGAGCAGUGACACCCAUAUUAAUAGUAUGGGUGUAGAGAUAUUAGCAUAUGAAUAAGCAACGGCUAACUCCGUGCC